rnacentral:rRNA from 1 species
GACGAACGCUGGCGGCGUGCCUAAUACAUGCAAGUAGAACGCACAGUUUAUACCGUAGCUUGCUCCACCAUAGACUGUGAGUUGCGAACGGGUGAGUAACGCGUAGGUAACCUGCCUGGUAGCGGGGGAUAACUAUUGUAAACGAUAGCUAAUACCGCAUAAUAUUAAUUAUUGCAUGAUAAUUAAUUGAAAGGUGCAAUUGCACCACUACCAGAUGGACCUGCGUUGUAUUAGCUAGUAGGUGAGGUAACGGCUCACCUAGGCGACGAUACAUAGCCGACCUGAGAGGGGGAUCGGCCACACUGGGACUGAGACACGGCCCAGACUCCUACGGGAGGCAGCAGUAGGGAAUCUUCGGCAAUGGACGAAAGUCUGACCGAGCAACGCCGAGUGAGUGAAGAAGGUUUUCGGAUCGUAAAGCUCGGUUGUAAGAGAAGAACGGGUGUGAGAGUGGAAAGUUCACACUGUGACGGUAUCUUACCAGAAAGGGACGGCUAACUACGUG